rnacentral:rRNA from 1 species
AUUGAACGCUGGCGGCAUGCCUUACACAUGCAAGUCGAACGGCAGCACGGGAGCAAUCCUGGUGGCGAGUGGCGAACGGGUGAGUAAUACAUCGGAACGUGCCCAGUUGUGGGGGAUAGCCCGGCGAAAGCCGGAUUACUACCGCAUACGACCUACGGGUGAAAGCGGGGGAUCGCAAGAACUCGCGCUAUUGGAGCGGCCGAUGUCGGAUUAGCUAGUUGGUGGGGUAAAAGCCUACCAAGGCUACGAUCCGUAGCUGGUCUGAGAGGACGACCAGCCACACUGGGACUGAGACACGGCCCAGACUCCUACGGGAGGCAGCAGUGGGGAAUUUUGGACAAUGGGCGCAAGCCUGAUCCAGCCAUGCCGCGUGCGGGAAGAAGGCCUUCGGGUUGUAAACCGCUUUUGUCAGGGAAGAAACGGUUUGGGCUAAUACCCCGAACUAAUGACGGUACCUGAAGAAUAAGCACCGGCUAACUACGUGCCAGCCGCCGCGGUAA